rnacentral:lncRNA from 1 species
UUAUAAAAUGUCAUAGGACUCAUUUUUAAGUCAUUCAAUUGACAAAUUUAUCUUUCUAAACCUAUCUCUUUUUCUUUUUCAUCUCAUUUCUUUCUUUCUUCUCUUUCUUUAUCUUUUUCUUUCAUCUUUUUCUUUCUCUUCUUCUUUCAUCUUUUUUUUUUCUUUCUUCAACAACAAAUAUCUUAACAAUUCGGCGGACCAGUUCCGGUUUCAACGGACCAGAUCCGACACAUUUGUCUAUAGAUGGACUAGAUCUGAUGGAAUAGAUCCAGUGGACUAGAUCUGAUGGACUAGAUCUGAUGGACUAGAUGUAGUAGACCAAAUCCGAUGAAAUAUCAUGGACAAGAAUUCAUGACAUA